rnacentral:rRNA from 1 species
UACGUAGGGUGCAAACGUUGCUCGGAAUCACUGGGCGUAAAGGGCGUGUAGGCGGGAAGGAAAGUCAGAUGUGAAAUCCCUGGGCUCAACCCAGGAACUGCAUUUGAAACUCCCUUUCUUGAGUGUCGGAGAGGAAAGUGGAAUUCCUGGUGUAGAGGUGAAAUUCGUAGAUAUCAGGAGGAACACCGGUGGCGAAGGCGGCUUUCUGGACGACAACUGACGCUGAGACGCGAAAGCGUGGGGAGCAAACAGG